rnacentral:lncRNA from 1 species
UGUACUCAUCACGAGCCCUCCAGCACAGAGCUUCCCCAGUUUGCCUAAUUAGCCCCCUUGCAGCUUUCCAAUCUCGGCCCCGUGUCUUCCCCGGUGUCUUCACCUCUUAAUCGCAUGCGUUGUUCUACACUUCUUUACUUCCUUGAUUUGUUUCCACCCCAUUCCUAGACUGAAGUCUCCUUGAGGGCAGGGCCCGGGUCUAAUUUGGGGUUCCAUAUGUCCAAGAGCCUGGUGUGUAGUUGAGGCUUAAUGGAUAUUUACUGAAUGAAUGAAUGGAUGAAUGAAUGAGUGCUCAAACCCAGAGAUCAGGGACUGACCGAGAGGACAACCUCCUUGGUAUCAGCCAUGUCCGGGCAAAGGGCCACGGAGAAAUCAGACAGCGAGCCUAACAGAAAUCAGGCACCAGGAUGAAAAGCUCGUCUUGUUCUCUCAGCUCAUGCCGGUUCCUCCAUCUUCUGAAAUCAACUCGUCGUUCGUGCUUCCGCCUCCUUGAGUUGGUGACGAUCCCCCGUUAGUCCCUUCCGGAGCAGACUCAGGAAUGUGUCACGGGGCGAGAUGGAAAUCCUGACUCUUCGUGGCUGCGUGCCUUAGCCGCUCAAGCCUCAACAUUCUCAUCAGGAAACAGGGCACAUGAUGCUUCUCCUGCUGGGGAUGGGGCCUGUGAAGAAACGAGUCCGGAGCCGGGUGCCUAGCGGCUGCAGAACAAAAGUAAUUUCUCUUUAUUAAACUUUCAAUGCUCCCUCCUACCUCGAUGCCACCUGGAUGUUCCAGCCAUCUCAGUGGAGACAAUGUAAAGAAAAGCAUCCGGAAGCUGACACCAUCCCCCUGGAUGCAGUGGUGCAGAAUGUGACCUAAGCUAAGGCAAUUAGCACAUCCUGUCUUCCGGGCCACUGAUUGAUCUAGGUAGGUGCCCAAUUAAAGUUUGCUGCCUGGCCUGAUGUCUUCAGAAAAGUCUGAAACCUCUUUUCUGAUGCUCUUAAAGGGAUGAAGAAUGGAAUGCAGAGCUGCCAAUAUCAUUUUUGAUGAAGGAUCUACACAUGGAGCCAGCCCCAGGGAAGUAGAGCUGAGAAGUGGAGAGAGAGAAACUGGAUCCUGGUGACAUCAUUCAAGCUCCUGGAUCAAGCCACACCUGAAGGUCUGCCCUUGGGCUUUUCAAACACAGGAGCCAAUAAAGUCCCUUUUCUCAGGUCA